rnacentral:tRNA from 6 species
GCGCCCGUAGCUCAGCUGGAUAGAGCACCAGACUACGAAUCUGGGGGUCGGGAGUUCGAAUCUUCCCGGGCGCGCCA